GAAAAAAGUGGGCGAGGAGGAGCGUUGAAAAUUUCGUGACAAGUAGUUUCCGUGCGCCCGAGAGCGUGUGAAUUGCUCCUAAUUACCGUGUCCGAUUCUCUUAAACUCAGGACGCGCAUCGGUCUGUCCGACCUUCCCGGCAAGAGACAAAGUCACUGCUGGGAGGCCCCCUCGGACAGUUUUCAGUUUUAACUUUCGCCUUAUUCUCGUCUUUUCUUGAUGUCACGGCCCUGAGGAACAGCUCGUUCUGCAGAAGAGGUAACAGGUUUCAGAUUUUGUUUCCUUUUUGAAAGGCAACAUCUGGAAUUAAUGCCGCGGCCCUCGGGCGAGUCGCCCUCGGUUUCUGUAGCUCUGAUUUUAUCUUUGUGUCUUUUCCCCUCCAAUUUCUAAAGUUCUGUUUUUCCCUCUAAUUCUGUUUUUCCCUCUAAUUUCUAAUGUUCUGUCACUCUCGUUUUUGUUCUCUACUUUUC
rnacentral:lncRNA from 1 species